AUGACGUAUAUGAACAAUAGGGGCACUGCAGAACAGUUAAGAGGGAGUAUAAAGAGGGCAAGGGAAACACUUGGGGAAACCUCUACUCAGGAUUGGAAACAGGAGAUAGAGCUCAGAACAAUCUUCACCAUGGCCUGGUCCUGUUUCCUCCUCACAUUCUUUGUUCAGUGCUCAGGAUCCUGGGUCCAGUCUGUGCUGAUUCAGCAGCCCUCACUGUCUGGGGCUCCAGGACAGAGUGUCACCAUCUCCUGCACUGGAAGCAGCAACAAUAUYGGUGACAAUUUCGUGCACUGGUAUCAGCAGCUCCCAGAAACAGCACCUAAACUCAUCAUCUAUGAUGAUAAUGAUCGGCCCUCAGGGGUCCCUGAUCGCUUCUCUGGCUCCAGGUCUGGCAACUCUGCUUCACUGACCAUCACUGGGCUCCAGCCUGAGGAUGAGGCUGUCUAUCACUGUGAGUCUUAUGAUGACAGCUUUGAUGCUCCCACAGUGCUCCAGGCUCAUGGGGAAGUAAGACAAGAACCCCUUUACCAUCUGGCAGGAGGGCAAACACCCUGCAGCUUUGCUCAGGCCUGUUUUUUGACUUUUUCUUCUACCACUAUAUAG